rnacentral:rRNA from 1 species
AGUGAACGCUGGCGGUAGGCCUAACACAUGCAAGUCGAACGGCAGCACAGUAAGAGCUUGCUCUUACGGGUGGCGAGUGGCGGACGGGUGAGGAAUACAUCGGAAUCUACUUUUUCGUGGGGGAUAACGUAGGGAAACUUACGCUAAUACCGCAUACGACCUACGGGUGAGAGCAGGGGAUCUUCGGACCUUGCGCGAUUGAAUGAGCCGAUGUCGGAUUAGCUAGUUGGCGGGGUAAAGGCCCACCAAGGCGACGAUCCGUAGCUGGUCUGAGAGGAUGAUCAGCCACACUGGAACUGAGACACGGUCCAGACUCCUACGGGAGGCAGCAGUGGGGAAUAUUGGACAAUGGGCGCAAGCCUGAUCCAGCCAUACCGCGUGAGUGAAGAAGACCUUCGGGUUGUAAAGCCCUUUUGUUGGGAAAGAAAAGCAGCAGGUUAAUACCCCGCUGUUCUGACGGUACCCAAAGAAUAAGCACCGGCUAACUUCGUG